GAUGAACGCUGGCGGCGUGCUUAACACAUGCAAGUCGAACGGUGAAGCAGGAGCUUGCUCUUGUGGAUCAGUGGCGAACGGGUGAGUAACACGUGAGCAACCUGCCCCUGACUCUGGGAUAAGCGCUGGAAACGGCGUCUAAUACUGGAUAUGUGAUGUGACCGCAUGGUCUGCAUCUGGAAAGAAUUUCGGGUGGGGAUGGGCUCGCGGCCUAUCAGCUUGUUGGUGAGGUAAUGGCUCACCAAGGCGUCGACGGGUAGCCGGCCUGAGAGGGUGACCGGCCACACAGGGACUGAGACACGGCCCAGACUCCUACGGGAGGCAGCAGUGGGGAAUAUUGCACAAUGGGCGGAAGCCUGAUGCAGCAACGCCGCGUGAGGGAUGACGGCCUUCGGGUUGUAAACCUCUUUUAGCAGGGAAGAAGCGAAAGUGACGGUACCUGCAGAAAAAGCACCGGCUAACUACGUGCCAGCAGCCGCGGUAA
rnacentral:rRNA from 1 species